CUCAACAACUCAGCUUAAUAGACUUGCUAACAUCCUCUUUGUCACAAAUGGAAAACUUAAUGAAAUAAUUUCAUCCACCUAAAGGCUUCCUGACAUUUCCCAGACUGCUUUUUCAUAUACAAAGAAGACAGUGACAGAAAUGCCUGCUUGCUAGAUCUGACUGAGAUUCAUUGUGCAGCCUCCAGGUCAGUACAGUGUGUCUUACAGAGACAUGCUACAAGUGAAUUCUAUCUUC
rnacentral:lncRNA from 1 species